rnacentral:lncRNA from 13 species
AGGCGGGGGCCGCGGCGGACGAGGGUCUGGUGCGGAAAUGCACCGAGUGGCUGCGCGGCGUGGAGAGCGCGGCCGGCCGCGACCACCCCGAACGGCUGGAGACGCUGCCGCACUUGGGCACCCUCUGAGCCCCGCCAGGACCGGGGAGCGGCACGGCGGGGGCUAGAGGAGCUGUCGGACCGGGGGGAGGUGGGGCCGCCAUCCGCGAUGUCGUGUUCCGUGUGCUGUUGUCGGCGCCAGAGCAGCGGAGCCCCUGGCCCGGAGCCGAUCCUCGGGGCGCCGCCGCCGCCGCCGGGGCGAGGGACAAAGGAGCGGCGUCGGCCUCCGCCCGCCGGUGCCCGGGUGCUGGGAGGGAGGGCACCGGCUGUGGGCGUCCUGCCUCCACCCUCGCGGUUUUUCUAAAGAUUUCUGACUACUUUAUAGAAUGUGCGUAAUGGUUUUGUAUAUUUGUAUAUAAAAGUUCAUUUUUAUUUAUUUGAAUAAAGGACUCUUGUGUUGCGGUAGCCUUUGCGCCUUGAUAGCUUCGCGUUGGGCCGUCCCAGCCUGGCGGUGUCCCUAUCUCGGUGUCCACAAGGUAAGGAUGGCGGGCUGGUCACCGUGCGAAGAGCCUGUGCCGUUCACACGUUUGCUCCUCUAACAGUCGCCGACAUCUCGGCUCCGGGGAGAACGCAGAGCCGCGGAUUCGGCGAGGCGGCGCAGGCAGGGUACCGAGCGGGCGGGGGCCAGCCCGUCGCUGCCGGGGCAGAUGGCAGCAGUGCCGGCCACCGCGCCAGCGGGGAGCAGCCCUCCCGGGGAGAGACAGGGACAACGGGAGGAGGAUGGGGCAGUGCGGGCGGCCGCGGCGUGGGCAGAGGUUGCUCCAGUCCCCUGUGCCGGGGAACCGGAGACGAGCGGCUGGGUCUUGGCGAUUUCAUCCCCGCCCAGGCAGUAAUUCAGAUACAUCCGAUCUUUCGAGCUGCUGUCAAUGUACGAGGUGGAAUAGGAAGGAAGGAGGGAGGGAGCUCAGAGCAGCAUCCUUUGUCAGCGUCCCCCGGCCUCCCAUCCCCGGGGCCCGCUGCAGCCUUCUCUGCUCCGGGCUAUGGCCAUGUCUGGUGCUCCUUAGAGCUCUGUGUGUUGGGAGAGGCGAGGAGGGGACGGGAGAGGCCAAGUGUACAAAAAUUACGGGCGGAAAGGGAAGGAUGCUUUCUUCAGAAGAAGAAAAUUUGGAGAAUACUGAAGAGGAAGAGGGGAAAAGUGACUGCAGGGAAAACUGAGAGCUGGAUGCUGAUCCAAUGGAGGACCCACAUCAGUUUCUCUGUUGGAUAUAGCAGCAGGUGUUACGAGAAAACCCCCAUAAAGUAUGUCUGCAGUGAAGCAAUGCAUCUAAAGACACGCUUUAACACUUCAAAUUUGCCACCUUUGUGAACUCAAAUCUCACAGUUGCUCUGUGUGGGAAUGUACAAAUGAGAUGGGUUAUGGAGAGUGGAAGCAAGUGGCUGUGUCCAGCGUAGCCACUGCUUUGCUCCUCUCACUGCCUGCAGAAGCCCAGGCUUUGGCUGUCUGUGAGCUAGCGUGGCUGGAAACCGGGGCUGUAAAACUGUAGUGUGUGACCUGAUGAUCUCCGUGGUGUCUCCUGGUGUUUCUGUUUUAUGGUCCUUUCACACCUCGCCAGCCUUCCCAGUGCUUGCAUUACUGGAAUGCAGCACCAGACUCUGGGAUGAGACAGGUGAAAUGGUUGUAAAGUAACCAGGAAAUGAAAGCUCCCCUCCUCACCCAUUUUGGAUUUCCAUGGGAUUGUUAGCGUGACAGGGUUAUAGUUACAUUUAAAGGAACACAACAUGUGAAUCACUGUAUGUAGGCUGGCAUUUCAGUUGUGACUGUGACAGUUGCUUUUCAACACCUGAAUAUCAACUUAGUCUUGGUAGAUAUCUCUGAAUCUUUUCACCCAGCCGCAGCAAUGCAGAGAAAUGCAGAUCUCACGUCUACAUUUUACCUGCUUUGUGGCAUUGGGCUCUGACUUCUAGAAUUUAGAGCCACUUUUAAGCAGAUGCUCACUUAAUCAUGACUUUAUGCUUUCUCCUCAUUUUUUAAAUACUUGACAUGAGAAGGGAAAAUCCUAAAGGGGAUGACAGUAGCAAAUAAACUGAGAAAAACAGUAAAUGCAAUGUCUGCCUCUUUCUCAACCUAUUUCUGAGUUUAGUCUAUUCAGGGCUUGUGAAGUAGCACAUUGUUUUUUCCAUGCAGGGAGAAACUGUGACCGAAGAUUAUAUAUGUUACUAUUGCCUGAAUUUUUCAAUUUCUUGAAGAGUUAGCCUUGCAAGAAUGGCAGGUGUGAAUCUCAUCAAAGCAGAAAAUAUUUUUCCCUAUUUAAUGUAACUAUUAGCGGUUUAAAAGAACUUGCAAACAGUGCCCAGUUGGGCUGAGCAGGUUUUUGUUCUGAGAUAUUUGCCUGUGUGGAACGUCCUGCAUUUAUAGGCAGUAAAUGGUAGCACAUACUCAGCUGGCAUGGACAAAAAGAAAUAGUGCCACUGGUUUCAGUAAUGCAGGAGGCACCGUGGAGAGAUUCUGCUAACAAGAGCUGUUCUCACUGUUUGCAUGGAUGUUGUGCAAAACCGAAAGGGAACCUUGAACUCCUGAAGAACAGCAGAUGUGGAAAAACUGUUGUCUCUAAUUGACACUGUGGUGUCAGGUGAAUGGAAGCAGUGAGCUAAACAAGUUUCUUCUCUGGGUUAAAUUUCAUUUCUGAUCUCAGGAGUGAUGACACAUUCCCACCUUUCCUCUUCGGCAGCGCUGACAGAUCUGUCCUUUACUUGGUAACAUGCUCCCACUAAAUGUUUCAAGUUUUUUAUAUAUCUCUGUCAUAUUUAAAUGGCUAACAGGUUUGCAACAGUUUCUUAAUAUUCAGAAAGUGAACCUCAUUUUCUUGGGAAAAUAGAACAGCAUGAACUUUACUUCUUUAUGAAAACACAUAAAACUUCCACAAAUCUCUAAUAGAUAUAGUGAUCUACAGUUUGAAUGAUCGAGAGUGUAAGAUGAUUUUUUUGCACGGGAAAUUUAUAUUUUGACUUUCUUUGUAAGCUAAAUGUAAUGGGAAUUUUCACAAGUGUGUGAAUCUUUAUAAUCCUCCCUAAUCUUGUAUCAUGGGAUUCCUCUCAACAUUAGCUGCUAAAAGUUAGGUAUCUCUCCUAAGGGAGUAAUCUAGGAAGUAAUUCCUCACCCUCCCCCAGUAGAUACCAUGCCAGGGAUUCAUCUCACCUGUUUUACUCACCUAUCCUAGAAUGGGAUAAAUGGCAAUCUGGAGACACUUAUCUCUCUUGCUUGACUACAGAAGGAGCCUAGAUGACUGGCUUGGAUGAGCCACCUGAUUUCUAGGUGGCUGUAGAGCAGGGACACUACCUCUUUUGGCCUUAGAGUAUAAGUUGUAGUUUUCAAAGAUAUAUUCUUAGUGCUGAAAGGGUUGCUUAUAUAUAUAUGCACUCAGUUGUGCAAAUAGUAACACCUUUCUUGUUAGCUAGUGUUUUGUGUAUGGAUUCGUGUACACUUAGAUGAUCAGUAUUUAGGUGUAUUAUUCUAUGUCCCAAAUUUCUUUCUGAGAAGUAUCAAGACAAAACUGAAAUGCGUGUAUGCAGGUAAGUUACACAGGCACAACUUCUUCCUUCCCACAGAGGAAUGGGGAAAGCUCACAUUGUAAUGGGUGAAACUCCCCAGCAGUUUGGUACCUGGGAAAGGCCAGUCUAGGCUAAUUUCAAAUGGAAUAAAUAAACCUCAUUCUGAAAAUCCUGCAAAUGUCCACAUCAGUUGUAUCCUUUUAGCUAUGGAGGAGAAUGUUUGAGUUUACAUAUAUUCAUGGAGCAGCACAUCAGCAGAGUCCACUCAAUUGAGUUCUUUGAUCUGUGGAAAUGGGCAAACUGGUUUGGUUUGGCUUCCUGUACUCAGGCUUCCUCACAUGUCAUUUUCUGUAUUGCUGAGGAAUAUCAGUACCUCAAUCAUUUCACUCACUUCUGUCACACAGUGCUUCUGUCCCAGCAUGCCAGGAAACAGUGAUGUGGAGUCUUCUGCUCUCGGUUCCCUGCUGAGCCAAGAGGAGCAAGACAGGUACGGAAUUUCUCUACUUUGGUGGCCACAUGGUCUCCUUGAAGUGCUGAGCUGCAAAGCAGCAGCAGUGAGGAGUCAGGGCUGGUGCAGAACUCAGUGGUUCCUAGACAUUUCCCAUGACAAGAGCACUGGACAGGUGAGCUCUGGAUACACACAGGAUUUGUGGGUUUUCUGUCAAUUAUCUUUCUGGGUUCUAGGCUGCCAAUAUCUGGGCAUGAUAAGGACACUCCUAUACUCCACACCUGUAUGACAGUACUGAAACACAUGACACAAGGCUUAAAGUAUAUUUCUAGUUAUUCCUCAAAACCCAUUGGAUAGGUGUUCUGGGAACUCUGUAGUAGAGUUUAUCCCUCUGUCACACAGGAUUUUCAAUGCUUGUUGUGGGGGCUAUUGUAUGCAGAGGCUGCACAACUCUGUCAUGCUGCUGUAGGAGCAGGAGUUGGGAGCUUCAGUGAGAACUGUCAGCAGAGGCAGUGGAGGGAGCAAAGAGGUGGGUAACUGGGCACACCUUUGCCAGUGGGGAUUUAACAUUUAGUGCAGUUGGAAAGUAACUUACUCAUUUGCUGAUGUUUGCUUUGAUUUUAUUGAAAUGGUAAAAAACAGUGGAAAAAAUUAUUAAAAAUGAAGGAAAAUCAAAGAGAAACAGGAGGGCACCGAAUUAGCACAGGUUUGGUUUGUUUUCCUUGUAAUGCCAAAAGCAUCAAGAAACUACCAAACAUCAGCUGAUGAUGUUUGGGUUAACUUUCAUCUAGCAGUGAUGAGAGAAAUGGCACAUGAGAGCACCCUGGCUGUGGAUGGUUGUAAGACAAAGGUUGAUUUAGUGGAGUUGAGUGGGUUGUUUCACCCAUAUUGUUUUAUAUCAUGACACUCACUAAGAAGAUCUCUCAGUUCUCUGGGCUGGACUCUGACUUUCCUCUGCCUUUUGCAGUGCCAUAAUGCCACAGAAGUACUUUUUCAUUUCAGAAAAACAGUUACAAGCUGGUAAAAUCUUGGUUUGUGAGAUUGCAACCUGCUUUGUUAUUUUUUAUCUUACAGUCUCAAUGCAAAAGUGAGAAUCUUAUUCUGUGUCAUGUUUCAAUAAAAUUCUGUACUUGCUCAGGGAAGAAG